CCUACGGGCGGCUGCAGUGGGGAAUAUUGCACAAUGGGCGCAAGCCUGAUGCAGCCAUGCCGCGUGUGUGAAGAAGGCCUUCGGGUUGUAAAGCACUUUCAGCGGGGAGGAAGGCGGUGAGGUUAAUAACCUCAUCGAUUGACGUUACCCGCAGAAGAAGCACCGGCUAACUCCGUGCCAGCAGCCGCGGUAAUACGGAGGGUGCAAGCGUUAAUCGGAAUUACUGGGCGUAAAGCGCACGCAGGCGGUCUGUCAAGUCGGAUGUGAAAUCCCCGGGCUCAACCUGGGAACUGCAUUCGAAACUGGCAGGCUAGAGUCUUGUAGAGGGGGGUAGGAUUCCAGGUGUAGCGGUGAAAUGCGUAGAGAUCUGGAGGAAUACCGGUGGCGAAGGCGGCCCCCUGGACAAAGACUGACGCUCAGGUGCGAAAGCGUGGGGAGCAAACAGGAUUAGAUACCCCUGUAGUC
rnacentral:rRNA from 1 species